rnacentral:rRNA from 1 species
AGUGAACGCUGGCGGUAGGCCUAACACAUGCAAGUCGAACGGCAGCACAGUAAGAGCCUGCUCUUACGGGUGGCGAGUGGCGGACGGGUGAGGAAUACAUCGGAAUCUACUUUUUCGUGGGGGAUAACGUGGGGAAACUUACGCUAAUACCGCAUACGACCUACGGGUGAAAGCAGGGGAUCUUCGGACCUUGCGCGAUUGAAUGAGCCGAUGUCGGAUUAGCUAGUUGGCGGGGUAAAGGCCCACCAAGGCGACGAUCCGUAGCUGGUCUGAGAGGAUGAUCAGCCACACUGGAACUGAGACACGGUCCAGACUCCUACGGGAGGCAGCAGUGGGGAAUAUUGGACAAUGGGCGCAAGCCUGAUCCAGCCAUACCGCGUGGGUGAAGAAGGCCUUCGGGUUGUAAAGCCCUUUUGUUGGGAAAGAAAAGCAGCAGGUUAAUACCCCGCUGUUCUGACGGUACCCAAAGAAUAAGCACCGGCUAACUUCGUG